rnacentral:rRNA from 1 species
UACGGAGGGGGCUAGCGUUGUUCGGAAUUACUGGGCGUAAAGCGCACGUAGGCGGGCCGGAAAGUCAGAGGUGAAAUCCCGGGGCUCAACCCCGGAACGGCCUUUGAAACUCCCGGUCUUGAGGUCGAGAGAGGUGAGUGGAAUUCCGAGUGUAGAGGUGAAAUUCGUAGAUAUUCGGGGGAACACCAGUGGCGAAGGAGGCUCACUGGCUCGAUACUGACGCUGAGGUGCGAAAGCGUGGGGAGCAAACAGG